rnacentral:lncRNA from 1 species
AGGGGAAGCUGGCUGUAGAGUUAGCCACGAAGACACUAAAGUCCAGCCGGGAGAGUGAUUCUUGACCCUUGAGGUAACAGAUGCGACAGUCAAGGAGGGUAGCGAUUGGUUAGCCCACAGUGAGAAAUGGAUUGCGGGGCAAUAGAGAAGGAAGUUGAGAUUGACCAAGACGUAGGCACCAUGAUGUGGCAGGAUAUUCGGAAGAAAUCAGUGCACAUAAGAAGGAUAAGGAAAUGGGAACCACCUUGUCCCAAAGGUCUUCCGUUGCCUUGUAGAGGAGGCAUGAGCGGUGAAGGAUUAGAACAGCCUCGGAUUCAGACGCGUGCUCCUUGUCACAGUCCAGCAGGGUCUCUUCAGUCAGUUUUAUUUAUUGCAAGCACGGAUGACUUCUCUCUCUUUUCAUUUAUUCAAGGUUAUCUGGCUGUUUUUUUGUUCUUGUG